rnacentral:rRNA from 1 species
GUGGGGAAUAUUGGACAAUGGGCGCAAGCCUGAUCCAGCCAUGCCGCGUGAGUGAUGACGGCCUUAGGGUUGUAAAGCUCUUUCGCGCACGACGAUAAUGACGGUAGUGCGAGAAGAAGCCCCGGCUAACUUCGUGCCAGCAGCCGCGGUAAUACGAAGGGGGCUAGCGUUGUUCGGAAUCACUGGGCGUAAAGGGUGCGUAGGCGGGUCCAUCAGUCAGGGGUGAAAUCCCGAGGCUCAACCUCGGAACGGCCUUUGAUACUGUGGAUCUUGAGUCCGGAAGAGGUGAGUGGAACUGCGAGUGUAGAGGUGAAAUUCGUAGAUAUUCGCAAGAACACCAGUGGCGAAGGCGGCUCACUGGUCCGGAACUGACGCUGAGGCACGACAGCGUGGGGAGCAAACAGG